rnacentral:rRNA from 1 species
UACGUAGGGUGCAAGCGUUGUCCGGAAUUAUUGGGCGUAAAGAGCGUGUAGGCGGCCCGAUUAGUCUGCUGUGAAAGUCCAGGGCUCAACCCUGGAAUGCCGCUGGAAACUGUCUGGCUAGAGUCCGGAAGGGGCGAGUGGAAUUCCUGGUGUAGCGGUGAAAUGCGCAGAUAUCAGGAGGAACACCAAUGGCGAAGGCAGCUCGCUGGAACGGUACUGACGCUGAGGCGCGAAAGCGUGGGGAGCGAACAGG